AUGUGGUCCUGCCACCCGAACCACCACCAGAGGGAGGCAAGGAGCAGCUGGGAGGCCCAGCCCCAUUCAUGCCUCCCAAGCCAGCACUGGGUCAACCAUACUUCCUCACAGCCAGGGCCAAAUUCCACCAGCCCAGAGGUGCUGACCUCCACAGAGAGCAGAGAACCACAACCCUGGGAUGUCCUGAUCUCCCCAGGUGAGACAGCAGGUGGGGGGCGCAGAGCAGAGCUCAGCCUCAGGGGCUCCGGCUCCACUGGGUCACCUGCCUGCCUUACGGGAAAAAGACCUGAUCAUCCUGGAGUGGACGCAAAGUACAGCUCCUUGUCCCUCCUGUGUGCACCCAGAGUAAUACUUCCUGUCCCCUCCUGUGUGCACCCACAGCUCUACUUCCUGUCCCCUCCUGUGUACACCCACAGCUCUACUUCCUGUCCAUUCCUGUGUGCACCCACAGCUCUACUUCCAGUCCCCUCCAGUGUGUACCACAGCUGUAUUCCUGUCCCCUCCUGUGUGCACUCACAGCUCUACAUCCUGUCCCCUCCAGUAUGCACCACAGCUCUCCUUCAUGUCCCCUCCUGUGUGCACCCACAGCUUUACUUCCUGUCCCUCCUAUGUGCACUCAAAGCUCUACUUCCUGCUCCUCCUGUGUGCACCUACAGCUCUACUUACUGUCCCUUCCUGUGUGCACCCACAGCUCUAUUUCCUGUCCCUCCUGUGUGCACCCACAGUUCUACUUCCUGCUACACCUAUGUGUAUUCACAGCUCAAAUUCCUGUUCCUCCUGUGUGCAUCCACAGCUCUACUUCUUGUCCCCUCCUGUGUGCACCCACAGUUCUACUUGCUGCUCCCUCCUGUGUGUACCCACAGCUCUACUUCCUUUCCCUCCUGUGUGCACCCACAGCUCUACUUCCUGUCCCUCCAGUGUGCACCCACAGCUCUACUUCCUGUCCCCUCCUGUGUGCAUCCACAGUUCUACUACUUGGCCCUCCUGUGUGCACCCACAGGUCUACUUUCUGUCCCUCAUUGUGUGCACCAAAGAUCUACUUCCUGUCCCAUCCUGUGUGCAUCCACAGCUCUAGUUCCUGUCCAUUCCUGUGUGCACCCAUAG
rnacentral:lncRNA from 1 species